CGUCGCGGGCAGGCGACCGCUCGUACAGGCCCGGCAGUCCUGGCUGUCCGAACCUGUGCGGGAGGAAAGUCCGAGCACGACAGGGUACGGCGGUGGGUAACGCCCACCGAUCUGCUGGUCGAGGAUCAGGGACAGUGCCACAGAAAACAUACCGCCGAUGGGUGCCGACGAGACGUUUAGCCGGCAUUACAGGUAAGGGUGAAAUGGUGCGGUAAGAGCGCACCGCCCGGCUGGUGACAGACGGGGCACGGCAAACCACGCCGCGUGCAAGGUCAAGCAGUCUCCGCACGCCGAUCUCCACCGUUGCCGGACGGCCAGUCUGGCCGGACAACGACUGGGGUGCGUGACGAUUCGCCCGAUCGGAAUGGAGACGGGUAGACCGCUGCCGGCUGCACAGCCUGUUGCAGUUGGCCCGACGCCGGCAACGGCGUUUGGCAGAGAAAUGGUCGCCACAGUUAAUAUCACCAUGUGAUGCUAACUGCACAGAACUCGGCUUACCGCCCGCGACCGACC
rnacentral:RNase_P_RNA from 1 species